rnacentral:rRNA from 1 species
UACGUAGGGGGCAAGCGUUGUCCGGAUUUAUUGGGCGUAAAGAGCGUGUAGGCGGCCAGGUAGGUCUGCUGUGAAAACUCGAGGCUUAACCUCGAGCUGUCGGCGGAAACCAUCUGGCUAGAGUCCGGAAGAGGAGAAUGGAAUUCCCGGUGUAGCGGUGAAAUGCGCAGAUAUCGGGAAGAACACCCGUGGCGAAGGCGGUUCUCUGGGACGGUGACUGACGCUGAGACGCGAAAGCGUGGGGAGCGAACAGG